rnacentral:rRNA from 1 species
GGGGAAUUUUCCGCAAUGGGCGCAAGCCUGACGGAGCAACGCCGCGUGCAGGAGGACGCUUUUCGGAGUGUAAACUGCUUUUCUGUGGGACGAGAAUGGACGGUACCACAGGAAGAAGCCCCGGCUAACUACGUGCCAGCAGCCGCGGUAAUACGUAGGGGGCGAGCGUUGUCCGGAGUUACUGGGCGUAAAGGGCAUGCAGGCGGUCGGACGCGUUUUGUGUGACAGCGGGUGGCUUAACUACCCGAGUAUACAAAAGACGGUUUGACUUGAGGACUCGAGAGGGACACGGAAUUCCGGGUGGAGUGGUGAAAUGCGUAGAGAUCCGGAGGAACACCGAAGGCGAAGGCAGUGUCCUGGCGAGUGACUGACGCUGAGGUGCGAAAGCUAGGGGAGCGAAAGGGAUUAGAUACCCCUGUAGUCA